rnacentral:sRNA from 1 species
CAGCCAAGUCAGAUAUGCUACUGUAAGUGUAAAAGACAAAAACCAAAAAAAAAAAAAGAUUCUAUUUGUUGUAGUUUGUAACAAAGAACAAAAGUGGGGAACUUUGUAGAGGGGAGC